rnacentral:rRNA from 1 species
AUUGAACGCUGGCGGCAUGCCUUACACAUGCAAGUCGAACGGCAGCACGGGUGCUUGCACCUGGUGGCGAGUGGCGAACGGGUGAGUAAUACAUCGGAACAUGUCCUGUAGUGGGGGAUAGCCCGGCGAAAGCCGGAUUAAUACCGCAUACGAUCUACGGAUGAAAGCGGGGGACCUUCGGGCCUCGCGCUAUAGGGUUGGCCGAUAGCUGAUUAGCUAGUUGGUGGGGUAAAGGCCUACCAAGGCGACGAUCAGUAGCUGGUCUGAGAGGACGACCACCCACACUGGGACUGAGACACGGCCCAGACUCCUACGGGAGGCAGCAGUGGGGAAUUUUGGACAAUGGGCGAAAGCCUGAUCCAGCAAUGCCGCGUGUGUGAAGAAGGCCUUCGGGUUGUAAAGCACUUUUGUCCGGAAAGAAAUCCUUGGCUCUAAUACAGUCGGGGGAUGACGGUACCGGAAGAAUAAGCACCGGCUAACUACGUG